GAUUCGUCACGAGGAUGACGAGGAUACGAUAACGAUACGACGUCAACGUCGUCACUCUGACUCAUCGUCGCGUAAAGUGUCACCGAUUCUUCGGAAUAGUUGUUUAUAUAUAAAUCGACUUUGAUCCAAAAUAAUUUGGCAAGAAUUGCGCACCAUGUUCAAUGCGACAUUCGAUUUCCCUCUCGUUGAGAGCAGAAAUGAAAGAGAGACAACGUAACUGCAAACAGACUUUAACUGAAGAUAACAAAGAGUCAAAAUACGAAAGCUUUACUUUAUUAAUAUGUCAAAUAAAGUGUAUAUAUUAAUUUCUUUCUUUUUGGAUAUGUGUGUAUUAUUCUUUGUUUGCCGUUCAAUUCGAAGACACAAAAUUUUUCAUCCUCUGUCUGUUUUGCGGCGCAUAAAACAAAGAAAGAUGUUUCCACCGCGUUAUAUCUUUAAAUAACAUUCCGCCAACUCAAGGUCAACGUUACAAUAAUACAGUAAUCUGACAUUCUUUCACGCAAGAAUUCUAUCUAUAUUCAUUAUGUCUAAAUUUAAUUUAAUUAAAUCAGUUUAAUUAAAUAUUAGGAAGAAACAAGAACUAA